UACGGAGGGUGCAAGCGUUAUCCGGAUUCACUGGGUUUAAAGGGCGCGUAGGCGGACUCUUAAGUCGGUGGUGAAAUCCUGGAGCUCAACUCCAGAACUGCCUUCGAUACUGAGAGUCUCGAGUCCGGGAGAGGUGAGUGGAACUGCGAGUGUAGAGGUGAAAUUCGUAGAUAUUCGCAAGAACACCAGUGGCGAAGGCGGCUCACUGGCCCGGUACUGACGCUGAGGUGCGAAAGCGUGGGGAGCAAACAGG
rnacentral:rRNA from 1 species